AAGAAAGUGGCAGAGAGGUGAUGUGAUUGGCUUGAAACUAAUGUACGGGGGUUCAAAUCCCUCCUUUCUGG
rnacentral:tRNA from 1 species